ensembl:snoRNA
GCUUAGGGAAGCCGCACUGCUCAGGUUCCAAUCUGGGUUCCACUGCAUAUGAGCCCUGUAUCUCUGAGCAAGUUAAUUAACCUCUCUUAGCUUCAGUUUCCUUAUCUGAGAAGUGAGGAUAAUAAUACUUACCUCAUAGGGUUAUUGGGAGCUUUA